UUCCGGUUGAUCCUGCCGGACCCCACUGCUAUCGAGAUGGGACUAAGGUAUGCUAGUCGAACGACCAGAACUAUGUCUGGGAGUGGCACACUGCUCAGUAACACGUAGCUAACCUACCCUUAGGACGUGGAUACCCCCGAGAAAUUGGGGUUAAUCCGCGAUAGAUGUAAUGUCCUGGAAUGGUAUUACGUCUAAAGGUAUUUCAUACAUGUUUGAAAUAUGCCUAAGGAUGGGGCUGCGGCCGAUCAGGCUGUUGGUGAGGUAAUGGCUCACCAAACCUUUGACCGGUACGGGCCAUGAGAGUGGUAGCCCGGAGAUGGACACUGAGACAAGGGUCCAGGCCCUAAGGGGCGCAGCAACCGCGAAACCUCCACAAUGCACUCACGUGCGAUGGGGCUAUCUCGAGUGCCACCUGAUGAAGGUGGCUUUUCCUUGGUCUUCAAAGCCUUGGGAAUAAGAGGGGGGCAAGACUGGUGUCAGCCGCCGCGGUAACACCAGUCCCUCGAGUGGUGGGGAUGAUUAUUUG
rnacentral:rRNA from 1 species